UACGUAGGGUGCAAGCGUUGUCCGGAUUUAUUGGGCGUAAAGAGCUCGUAGGCGGUCUGUCGCGUCGGAUGUGAAAACCCAGGGCUCAACCCUGGGCCUGCAUUCGAUACGGGCAGACUAGAGUGUGGCAGGGGAGACUGGAAUUCCUGGUGUAGCGGUGAAAUGCGCAGAUAUCAGGAGGAACACCGGUAGCGAAGGCGGGUCUCUGGGCCAAUACUGACGCUGAGGAGCGAAAGCGUGGGGAGCGAACAGG
rnacentral:rRNA from 1 species